CCGGCGUCUAUAAUUUUAAAUUCUUCAUUUACUGAAAAUGAAUAAUGUAUUUAAAAUUAUUUAGUAUUCAUAAUAAAAAUAAUAUACUCGUACACUUAAUAAAUUAUAUGUACAUAAGUAUAAUAAUGAAAUAUAAAUUAAUUAAUACAAUGAGGACCUAUAUUAUUUUGGAUCUUAGGAGGACUGCUACAUCAGAACACAAACCAGAAUUAUUUUUGAAAAUUAAACACUCACUUUUAUUUGAUUGUAUUAUAUUUGUCGAUUUUCAACGUUUUUCUCAACUAUCUUAAAACCCCAGACCACAAGUUAAUGUCAAUACGUUGAUUUCAUUUUUAUUGAUUUCUGGGUUAUCACCUACAAGGGAAGAAAACUAAUUCAUGUUACAACCUUACCAGUUUAUCGAGUUCCACUCAGAAUAGAUUUUUGAUUUCAAUAAUUUAUUGUUUGUUUCAUUAUACAACAGUGGCCUACCAAGGCCAACGUUAGUGAUUUUUACUCGUAGGCAAGACCAAAUUUUUCCUCUCCAAUACAAUUCACUAAUAGAAUUUUAGGGUACUAAUAUAUUUUUUAAUGAGCCUAAAAAAACUCGUUGUGCUUUUGCUAAUUUAACAAAUUAUAUCAAAAUUUAAGUGUCCUGUUUUGGUUCGAAUUAAAUAAAUUAUUGGUAGGGAUGGGUGAGAUACUUCAAAACUUGUAAAAAAUAUAACAGAUCAAACAGUUAUUAAAUAACGUUAAAGUAUCUUACCGAUUACUAUCACAAGUAGGUAUAUAAUAUUUUAUUAAAUUCAAUUUUCAUAUAACUAAUUGUUCAAAAUAAAUAGUGAAUAUACAUUUUAAAAAUGACGGAUAUAAUUCAUUCCGUGAGUAGCCCACUAUUGUAGAUAGGUAAUUAGUUUGGAAGGUAAAAUAAAUCAUUAUAAUCAAAACAAUUUCUGAGUUGAGCUCUGUAAACUGGUUAGGUGUGUUUUUUUCUCCAAUAACAAAGGUAAUUUGGAAAUCAACAAAAAAUAAAACCAAUGUAUCGAUAUUAGUUGUUAGGUUUUUUUAAUUUUUAGAAGAAUCAUAUGAUGUCUAGAAAAAUUACUCAAAUAAAGUGAUAUCGGGUGAAAUAUCUAUAUAUUUUGAAGUACAAUUUGAACAAUUGAAAACAUUUUUACUAAUCGAAAAAGUUUU